UACGAAGGGGGCUAGCGUUGCUCGGAAUCACUGGGCGUAAAGGGUGCGUAGGCGGGUCUUUAAGUCAGGGGUGAAAUCCUGGAGCUCAACUCCAGAACUGCCUUUGAUACUGGGAGGCUCGAGUCCGGGAGAGGUGAGUGGAACUGCGAGUGUAGAGGUGAAAUUCGUAGAUAUUCGCAAGAACACCAGUGGCGAAGGCGGCUCACUGGCCCGGUACUGACGCUGAGGUGCGAAAGCGUGGGGAGCAAACAGG
rnacentral:rRNA from 1 species